UACAGAGGGGGCAAGCGUUAUUCGGAAUUAUUGGGCGUAAAGGGCGCGUAGGCGGCUUUGCAAGUGACGGGUGAAAUCCCUCGGCUUAACCGAGGAACUGCCCGUCAGACUGCAUGGCUUGAGACCAGGAGAGGUGAGUGGAAUUCCCAGUGUAGCGGUGAAAUGCGUAGAUAUUGGGAGGAACACCAGUGGCGAAGGCGGCUCACUGGACUGGUACUGACGCUGAUGCGCGAAAGCGUGGGGAGCAAACAGG
rnacentral:rRNA from 1 species